UACGAAGGGUGCAAACGUUGCUCGGAAUCAUUGGGCGUAAAGCGCACGUAGGCGGCUUCGCAAGUCGGAUGUGAAAUCCCUCGGCUCAACCGAGGACGUGCAUACGAAACUGCGGAGCUUGAGUACUGAAGAGGAUCGCGGAAUUCCCGGUGUAGAGGUGAAAUUCGUAGAUAUCGGGAGGAACACCAGUGGCGAAGGCGGCGAUCUGGGAAGAUACUGACGCUGAGGAGCGAAAGCGUGGGGAGCGAACAGG
rnacentral:rRNA from 1 species